GAUGAAGAACGCAGCGAAAUGCGAUAAGUAAUGUGAAUUGCAGAAUUCAGUGAAUCAUCGAAUCUUUGAACGCACAUUGCGCCCGCCAGUAUUCUGGCGAGCAUGCCUGUUCGAGCGUCAUUUCAACCAUCAAGCCCCAGGCUUGUGUUGGAGCCCUGCGGCUGCCGCAGCCUCCCAAAACCAGUGGCGGACUCGCUAUCACACCGAGUGCAGUAGUUUACUCUUCGCUCAGGGCGUGUGGCGGGUGCUAGCCGUGAAACCCCCAACUUCUCAAGGUUGACCUCGGAUCAGGUAGGAAUACCCGCUGAACUUAAGCAUAUCAAUAAGCGGAGGA
rnacentral:misc_RNA from 1 species